UACGUAGGGUGCAAGCGUUGUCCGGAAUUAUUGGGCGUAAAGAGCGUGUAGGCGGUUCGGUAAGUCCGCUGUAAAAGUCCAGGGCUCAACCCUGGAAAGCCGGUGGAAACUGUCGAACUAGAGUCCGGAAGAGGCGAGUGGAAUUCCUGGUGUAGCGGUGAAAUGCGUAGAUAUCAGGAGGAACACCUGUGGUGUAGACGGCUUUCUGGACCAUAGCUGACGCUGAGACACGAAAGCGUGGGUAGCAAACAGG
rnacentral:rRNA from 1 species